rnacentral:rRNA from 1 species
UACGUAGGGGGCAAGCGUUGUCCGGAUUUAUUGGGCGUAAAGAGCGUGUAGGCGGCCAGUCAGGUCCGUUGUGAAAACUCGAGGCUCAACCUCGAGAUGUCGAUGGAAACCGUCUGGCUAGAGUCCGGAAGAGGAGUGUGGAAUUCCUGGUGUAGCGGUGAAAUGCGCAGAUAUCAGGAAGAACACCUAUGGCGAAGGCAGCACUCUGGGACGGUACUGACGCUGAGACGCGAAAGCGUGGGGAGCGAACAGG